UAGGGAAUCUUCCGCAAUGGGCGAAAGCUUAACGGAGCAACGCCGCGUGAGUGAUGAAGGUCUUCGGAUCGUAAAACUCUGUUAUUAGGGAAGAACAAAUGUGUAAGUAACUAUGCACGUCUUGACGGUACCUAAUCAGAAAGCCACGGCUAACUACGUGCCAGCAGCCGCGGUAAUACGUAGGUGGCAAGCGUUAUCCGGAAUUAUUGGGCGUAAAGCGCGCGUAGGCGGUUUUUUAAGUCUGAUGUGAAAGCCCACGGCUCAACCGUGGAGGGUCAUUGGAAACUGGAAAACUUGAGUGCAGAAGAGGAAAGUGGAAUUCCAUGUGUAGCAGUGAAAUGCGCAGAGAUAUGGAGGAACACCAGUGGCGAAGGCGACUUUCUGGUCUGUAACUGACGCUGAUGUGCGAAAGCGUGGGGAUCAAACAGG
rnacentral:rRNA from 1 species